GCUCUUCGCUGUCAAAGUUCCAGUUCCUCAGGGUUUUUCGGACAGCGUUGGGAGCGGACCCGGGUCAAUUCGGGAAUCAUUCCUUUAGGAUUGGCGCAGCUACUGAAGCGGCAAGACUGGGCUUGGGAGAUGAUCGGGUGAAGAAGAUUGGCAGGUGGGAGUCGAUGAGGUUCAGAUCUUACGUCAGGCCAGACAAGUUGGUAUAAAU